GCCUCCACUACAUCAAGGAUCACUUGGACACCAACAUUAAUGAUAACACCACAAACAGCAGCCAGUCAAUGAAGAGGACUUCUUUGGAUCCAUUAAGAACAAAACAUCCCAAAGAGGAGAACUGAAGAGACUACAACUUUCAGUCGAAUGUUUUUAGCGCUUUAGAGGAGGUCAAGGCGAUGGCCCUCAACAACAGCAUGGGAUGCUGAGUUGGACUCACCGGAGAAGCUUCUUCCAGCUAUAAACCUGCAACAGGUACUUCAAAACCAUCAAAGACAUCUUAGUAGACUGAAAACAUCACAUUGAGGAGGAUCGGAGAAACAUGGAAAUACAUUUUAGAUAGGUUCUAGCACAAACUUGUGGGGCUACAAAAACUUCCUGCAGAUUGGUUCACCGCAGAGUGCCCUGUGACAGAUGCAGCAAGAUGCAGCAGUAGGAGGCCUCCAACAGACAUCAACAUUUUA